rnacentral:tRNA from 1 species
UGGGGUAUAGCUCACUGGUAGAGUGCUUGCCUAGCGUGCAGGAUGCCCUGGGUUUAAUCCCCAGUGCUUAAC